AGCGGCGGACGGGUGAGUAACGCGUGGGUAACCUGCCUCAUGCAGGGGGAUAACAGUUGGAAACGGCUGCUAAUACCGCAUAAGCGCACAGUACCGCAUGGUACGGUGUGAAAAACUCCGGUGGUAUGAGAUGGACCCGCGUCUGAUUAGGUAGUUGGUGGGGUAACGGCCUACCAAGCCGACGAUCAGUAGCCGACCUGAGAGGGUGACCGGCCACAUUGGGACUGAGACACGGCCCAA
rnacentral:rRNA from 1 species